rnacentral:tRNA from 1 species
GAGAAGUUAGUAAAUACAUUACAUAGCCUUGUCAAGACUAAAUCACAGGUUAAAACCCUGUACAUCUCA